rnacentral:rRNA from 1 species
AGCGAACGCUGGCGGCAGGCCUAACACAUGCAAGUCGAGCGGGUCCCUUCUGGGGCCAGCGGCGGACGGGUGAGUAACGCGUGGGAACGUGCCCAUCGGUUCGGAACAACUCCGGGAAACUGGAGCUAAUACCGGAUACGUGCGAGAGCAGAAAGGUUCAUCUGCCGAUGGAUCGGCCCGCGUCCGAUUAGCUUGUUGGGGGGGUAACGGCCCACCAAGGCGACGAUCGGUAGCUGGUCUGAGAGGAUGAUCAGCCACACUGGCACUGAGAUACGGGCCAGACUCCUACGGGAGGCAGCAGUAGGGAAUAUUGCGCAAUGGCCGACAGGCUGACGCAGCGACGCCGCGUGGAGGAUGAC